GUUAAGAAGAUUUCCAUCUUCUGUCUCCAACGCUUAAAGUUAUUUCCAUUAAAUUUUUCAGGAGGAACCGGGUCACUUGCAUUGGCCAUUGGGGUAACUCUAAGUACUAGCCUAUUAUAUGUAGGAGAAAAUCUACUUCAAGAAUGUUGGGAAUAUACUGUCCCAGAAAAUUUUAAAUCUAUAAUACUCUACUUCAAUAAAUAAUAGGCAGAAAUAGGCUUAGAGAAAAUAAAUAGAGAAAGUGGAAAAAUGGAAC
rnacentral:lncRNA from 1 species